GGGGACGUUACGGAUUCGACAGGGGUAGUCUGAGCUUGAGUUGCGCGUCGGAGGGUUCGGCUCCGUCAGAAACGACACCUUAUAAUAACAGGCAAAACUAACAACAACCUAGCAUUCGCAGCGUAAGCUGUUGAAUCUGCCUUGUAAUUUCAUCGCCCAUGUGGCGUUGCAGGGCUAACCUUUAGUGGGAUACGACGGCUGUUGCCUCUUGAGGCAGUCGGAAGAGACUUCCAAGAUAGCGUACAUGACGCCUUGAUUGAUGGCAUAAUGCCACGCGAAACCUAAUAGUCAAUCUACACGCGUAGAUGCUUAAGUGUUAGGGCCUCUGGACGCGGGUUCGACUCCCGCCGUCUCCAUAU
rnacentral:tmRNA from 1 species